CUGACUUCUGAGAACUUACUGAGGAAGUCGGGGCAGGAGUUCCAAGGAGAAAAGGGUCAAAAGACAAGAAGUGAUGGGAAUGGCAUCUUUCCCAUUGUGAGAGAGCCUGGCAGAGGGGCUGUACCCCCAUCUCAGAAGAGUGCAGCCAGUAUCUACUCAUCUCCGGGCUUCCUACCCAUUUAAACAGAAAGCUCAGUAUUCAGAGCUAAACAUCUGGCUUGACAGCAGGGAACACUCAGUUAAUGCAACUGAGAGAGAACAGAUGACUAAAUCCUAGAGCGAGAAGGGGACCCGGGGAACCUGAAAAAGAACAGCAAUUGAAAUUGAAUGAAAGAAACAGAGCCCGGGAAAGAGAUUUCAGAACAUGCUGCAAGACUGGAUACCUGGAUAUCUUAGAAGACAUAAAUACUUGUGAAUUUUCUUUGUUGAACAGAAGAGGAUUAUUGGCUUUUUCUCUUCUCCCUCAUGCAUGAAGCCAUCUCUAGGUGGAGGUGUGUUUAUCAGCGAUUCUACAGCAGAAUGAAUUAAAUGUUGUCAAGAAAGAAUUACUGUUUGACAAAAAAGAACAUACAUGCUUCUCACUGUAACUGGGAUUUCUGGAUAUUGGACUCUGUAAGACUAACUGAACAUCUGGACAACUGAAAGCACCAGAGAAUUCAACCAGCCAGGAUGCAGCUGAACUAUAAUCACACACUAGAGUAACUGGUGCCUCAGGGAAUUUGUUGAAACUAGAAAACCAUUUGACAUAGGGGUGAGCAGUUUCUGCAUUCUUGGUCAGUGGAAUUUGUCCAUGAACCUGGAAUAACCUUGGUGUGGCUACUGUGGUGAUCUUACACAAUCAUUUUGUUGGAAACAAAUGUCUGGCCAUUGUUCUCAUAGAUGUAUUGAACCCAAUGUAGGUGUGUCUCACUGAAAUAUUAAAUUUUGUUUAGCAA